GGUUAAGCGACUAAGCGUACACGGUGGAUGCCCAGGCAGUCAGAGGCGAUGAAGGGCGUGCUAAUCUGCGAUAAGCGUCGGUAAGGUGAUAUGAACCGCAACAACCGACGAUACCCGAAUGGGGAAACCCAGUGCAAUCCGUUGCACUAUCAUGUCAUGAAUACAUAGUGGCAUGAGGCGAACCGGGGGAACUGAAACAUCUAAGUACCCCGAGGAAAAGAAAUCAACCGAGAUUCCCCCAGUAGCGGCGAGCGAACGGGGAACAGCCCAGAACCUGAAUCAGUUUGUGCCUUAGUGGAAGCGUCUGGAAAGUCGCGCAGUAAAGGGUGACAGCCCCGUACACAAAAAGGCACUUGCUGUGAGUUCGAUGAGUAGGGCGGGACACGUGACAUCCUGUCUGAAUACGGGGGGACCAUCCUCCAAGGCUAAAUACUCCUGACUGACCGAUAGUGAACCAGUACCGUGAGGGAAAGGCGAAAAGAACCCCGGCGAGGGGAGUGAAACAGAACCUGAAACCGUGUACGUACAAGCAGUGGGAGCACCUUCGUGGUGUGACUGCGUACCUUUUGUAUAAUGGGUCAGCGACUUAUAUUCUGUAGCAAGGUUAACCGUAUAGGGGAGCCGCAGGGAAACCGAGUCUUAACUGGGCGUUAAGUUGCAGGGUAUAGACCCGAAACCCGGUGAUCUAGCCAUGGGCAGGUUGAAGGUUGGGUAACACUAAACUGGAGGACCGAACCGACUAAUGUUGAAAAAUUAGCGGAUGACUUGUGGCUGGGGGUGAAAGGCCAAUCAAACCGGGAGAUAGCUGGUUCUCCCCGAAAGCUAUUUAGGUAGCGCCUCGUGAACUCAUCUCCGGGGGUAGAGCACUGUUUCGGCCAGGGGGCCAUCCCGGCUUACCGAUCCGAUGCAAACUGCGAAUACCGGAGAAUGUUAUCACGGGAGACACACGGCGGGUGCUAACGUCCGUCGUGAAGAGGGAAACAACCCAGACCGCCAGCUAAGGUCCCAAAGUCAUGGUUAAGUGGGAAACGAUGUGGGAAGGCCCAGACAGCCAGGAUGUUGGCUUAGAAGCAGCCAUCAUUUAAAGAAAGCGUAAUAGCUCACUGGUCGAGUCGGCCUGCGCGGAAGAUGUAACGGGGCUAAACCAUGCACCGAAGCUGCGGCAGCGGACGUAUCACCCAGGCACAUUCACAGAAGUGGAUAACGAUUGACGGAGCGCAGCGACGUCAAUGCGCCCAUUAAAGUCGAGUGGGCCUCGGGAUACGUCCGUUGGGUAGGGGAGCGUUCUGUAAGCCGUCGAAGGUGGACCGUGAGGUCUGCUGGAGGUAUCAGAAGUGCGAAUGCUGACAUAAGUAACGAUAAAGCGGGUGAAAAGCCCGCUCGCCGGAAGACCAAGGGUUCCUGUCCAACGUUAAUCGGGGCAGGGUGAGUCGACCCCUAAGGCGAGGCCGAAAGGCGUAGUCGAUGGGAAACGGGUUAAUAUUCCCGUACUGGGUGUUACUGCGAAGGGGGGACGGAGAAGGCUAUGUUGGCCGGGCGACGGUUGUCCCGGUUUAAGCGUGCAGGCUUGAGUUCCAGGCAAAUCCGGAACUCUUUAAGGCUGAGGCGUGAUGACGAGGCACUACGGUGCUGAAGUGACAAAUGCCCUGCUUCCAGGAAAAAGCCUCUAAGCAUCAGGUAACAUCCAAUCGUACCCCAAACCGACACAGGUGGUCAGGUAGAGAAUACCAAGGCGCUUGAGAGAACUCGGGUGAAGGAACUAGGCAAAAUGGUGCCGUAACUUCGGGAGAAGGCACGCUGGGCGCGGUAGGUGAAGCGACUUGCUCGCGGAGCUGAAGCCAGUCGAAGAUACCAGCUGGCUGCAACUGUUUAUUAAAAACACAGCACUGUGCAAACACGAAAGUGGACGUAUACGGUGUGACGCCUGCCCGGUGCCGGAAGGUUAAUUGAUGGGGUUAUCCGUAAGGAGAAGCUCUUGAUCGAAGCCCCGGUAAACGGCGGCCGUAACUAUAACGGUCCUAAGGUAGCGAAAUUCCUUGUCGGGUAAGUUCCGACCUGCACGAAUGGCGUAAUGAUGGCCAGGCUGUCUCCACCCGAGACUCAGUGAAAUUGAACUCGCUGUGAAGAUGCAGUGUACCCGCGGCAAGACGGAAAGACCCCGUGAACCUUUACUACAGCUUGACACUGAACAUUGAGCCUUGAUGUGUAGGAUAGGUGGGAGGCUUCGAAGCGUGGACGCCAGUCUGCGUGGAGCCAACCUUGAAAUACCACCCUUUAACGUUUGAUGUUCUAACCUGGCGCCGUAAUCCGGCGUGGGGACAGUGUCUGGUGGGUAGUUUGACUGGGGCGGUCUCCUCCCAAAGAGUAACGGAGGAGCACGAAGGUCAGCUAAUCACGGUCGGACAUCGUGAGGUUAGUGCAAUGGCAUAAGCUGGCUUGACUGCGAGAGUGACGGCUCGGGCAGGUGCGAAAGCAGGUCAUAGUGAUCCGGUGGUUCUGAAUGGAAGGGCCAUCGCUCAACGGAUAAAAAGGUACUCCGGGGAUAACAGGCUGAUACCGCCCAAGAGUUCAUAUCGACGGCGGUGUUUGGCACCUCGAUGUCGGCUCAUCACAUCCUGGGGCUGAAGUAGGUCCCAAGGGUACGGCUGUUCGCCGUUUAAAGUGGUACGCGAGCUGGGUUUAGAACGUCGUGAGACAGUUCGGUCCCUAUCUGCCGUGGGCGCUGGAAGAUUGAGAGGGGUUGCUCCUAGUACGAGAGGACCGGAGUGAACGCACCGCUGGUGUUCGGGUUGUCAUGCCAAUGGCAUUGCCCGGUAGCUAAGUGCGGAAAAGAUAAGCGCUGAAAGCAUCUAAGCGCGAAACUUGCCUCGAGAUGAAUCUUCCCUGACUCCUUGAGAGUCCUGAAGGGACGUUGAAGACGACGACGUUGAUAGGCCGGGUGUGUAAGCGCAGCGAUGCGUUGAGCUAACCGGUACUAAUGACCCGUGAGGCUUAACCUUACAACGCCAGAAGCGUUCUG
rnacentral:rRNA from 1 species